rnacentral:rRNA from 1 species
UACGUAGGUGGCAAGCGUUGUCCGGAUUUACUGGGCGUAAAGAGCGCGCAGGCGGCUGGCCAAGUCCGAUGUGAAAGCUUCCGGCUUAACUGGAAAAUUGCAUCGGAAACUGCUCGGCUUGAAGGUGGGAGAGGGUAGCGGAAUUCCCGGUGUAGUGGUGAAAUGCGUAGAUAUCGGGAGGAACACCAGUGGCGAAGGCGGCUACCUGGCCCGCUCUUGACGCUGAGGCGCGAAAGCUAGGGGAGCAAACGGG